CAGAGGAUAAAGAGUCAACAGGCAGGCUUUUGUGACAGAGAUUUCAUUAUUUAAAUAGAACAUAUAAUAAGUUAAAAACAUAAUUACAGCCUGAAAGGAGUGGAGAAUACUUAACAAGAUGGUUAAAAUUAUUAUCUCAAAUAUAAUUCUUAUCAGUCUUCAAGCAACAGUGAUGUCUUCCCUCAACGUCAAGCAAACACCAGAACAUCUAAUAAUGAGACUAGAGCAAAAGAAAGCAAACCUCAGCUGUCGGCAUGGUGACAGUAGCUAUACCGUAAUGCUCUGGUAUCAGCAGAAGGCAGCUGGUGACUCCAUUGAGCUCAUUGGAAUGCUUCAGUAUGAAAGAUUCACUCCUGAGGACAAGUUUAAAUCACGAUUCAACAUUUCAGGACAGGCUACAGGGGACGCGUUCCUGCUCAUAUCCACUAUAACUCCUGAGGACAGUGCAGUAUAUUUCUGUGCUGCGAGUAAGCGCAGCCACACACCUUCCCUUUCUGUUUAA